UACGGGGAAUGAGGGUUUGAUUCCGGAGAGGGAGCCUGAGAGAUGGCUACCAGGACCAAGGUCAGCAGCAGGCGCGAAAAUUAUCGAAGCCCGCCUAGGGGCGAUAGUGAGGAGACGUGUAUUCGAAGUACGUGUAAAGAACGUACUAAUAACUGGAGGUCAAGUCUGGUGCCAGCAUCCGCGGUAAUUCCAGCUCCAGGGGUGUCUAUGAUGAUUGCUGCGAUUAAAAAGUCCGUAGUCAAGCUGACUGACUGACCUGCAAUGUGAUUGAUUAAAGAACGAGCAGGGUUAGGAAAGCAGAGAAUUAGGAGCGACCGAGGGCUAGAGUAUUGAAUGGCGAGAGGUGAAAUUUGAUGACCCAUUCAGGAGUGACAAAGGCGAAGGCACUAGUCAAGGGCGAAUCCGAUGAUCAAGGACGUAGGCUAGAGUUUCGAAAACGAUUAGAAACCGGAGUAGUUCUAGCAGUAAACUAUGCCGACGCCGUGAUAUUGUUUUUUGUGGCGGUAUUGCGGAAGAGAAAUCAAGUAGGGCUUUGGGGAGAGUACGCGCGCAAGCGAUAAAUUUAAAGGAAAUUGACGGAGGAACACCACAAGGAGUGGAGUGUGCGGCUUAAUUUGACUCAACGCGGGACAGCUUACCAGGCCCGAUAAUCGAGCGAGCGUAGUACGCGAUAGAUUAAAGAGUGGUGCAUGGCUGCUAUCGACAGUUGGGGUGACCUUAGGGUUAAUUCCGGCAAGUAGUGAGACCCCUGCAGAUAGUGGACAGGUAUUUUUUAAAAUACAGGAAGGAAGGGACAAGAGCAGGUCAGUGAUGCCCUUAGAUGGCCUGGGCUGCACGCGCACUACAGUGGUCAUUAUAAGUAGAAGUUAGAUAUAAAGAUGAUCGAGAGGGACUGAGCUUUGUAAGAGGCUCACGAACGAGGAAUUGCUAGUAAUCGUAGGCUCAUUAAGAUACGAUGAAUAUGU
rnacentral:rRNA from 1 species